UUACAAAGCUUUGAUGAUUACGGACAAAGGUAGUCAGAGGAGUUGGUUGUCUUUUGAACAGUGGCAUUACGCCCAGCUGAUGCAGCCUAUCAUUGAUUCUAUUAUGGUUAUUGGAUUUAUUGAGUAUGCCCACAAGAAAAUGAAUCUCAGUGUCUGUGCCAAGCAUUUGGGUCCGCCUUCAGUGCCCUGUUAUGACAAGAAGACCUUCAAAAGUGAAAUUUUGAGAGUACAAAGCUUCUAUGUGCCUGUCAGAAUAAAAGGGAAUUGAGGCCCUGGUUCAGAGAGAAGAAAGGAGAUGCACAGCAGGUUGACUGCUCAAGUUGGUGUGGUGGUCUUUCAUUGAUUCUGUUAUGGUUAUUAUUCAAUGGAUUUAUCGAGUAUGCCCCCACAAAAAUGAAUCUUAGAGUUGUAUAUUGGUGACAUACACAGUAUUUACUUUGAUAAUAAAUUUACUUUGAACUUUUGACAUUUUAUUCUGCAAUCUAUUAUUGUUUUAUCUUAUUUUACCUAAAU